AAGACUAUACUUCACAGGAUCAUUUCUGUAGUAUAUGUCUUUUAUUCUUCUCUAAACUUUCGAGUGGAUUUCAGCCGUGAUGAUGAGGCAUAUUGUUUAGAUAUGUUAAGAUUUUUAUGUCCAAAAUUAAAGAUGUGACCUAUACGCAACAGC